AUGAAGAACGUAGCGAAAUGCGAUAAGUAAUGUGAAUUGCAGAAUUCAGUGAAUCAUCGAAUCUUUGAACGCACAUUGCGCCCCUUGGUAUUCCGAGGGGCAUGCCUGUCCGAGCGUCAUUGCUGCCCUCAAGCACGGCUUGUGUGUUGGGCCUCCGUCCUCCUCCCGGGGGACGGGCCCGAAAGGCAGCGGCGGCACCGCGUCCGGUCCUCGAGCGUAUGGGGCUUCGUCACCCGCUCUUGUAGGCCCGGCCGGCGCUUGCCGACACAUCAAUCUUUUUUCCAGGUUGACCUCGGAUCAGGUAGGGAUACCCGCUGAACUUAAGCAUAUCAAUAAGCGGAGGA
rnacentral:misc_RNA from 1 species